UCGGGGAGAAGACAGAGGACGAGACGGACGCAGGUGUGCCGGUGGUGGUCGAGGGGGCGGAGCCGGAGCGAGCCGCCUCGCAUGACGUUGACUCAGACGACCAAUCAAACGCCCAGCUGUCAGAGAUCCUCCGCAGCACGCUGUAGACGCCGCGCGGCAGCAGUGAUGAUUGGCUGGCUGUCCCUCCUCCCUCCAGACCUCCGUAGAUUGUACUAACUAAACUAAACUAAAGUUGCUGGUUCAACUCCGCCAAGCCUCAGAACCCAUGGCAUCGACUGUUACAAAGAAAAUAAUCAAUGCAACGAGAAACCAAGCACUGCUCCUCCUCCUCCUCCUCCUCCUCCUCCUCCUCGACCAGGAACCUUUGCACACUUCUUCUCUUCUUCUGACUCUGGACAUCAAACCAAAGCUACCACAAGGCGGUCGGACCGAGCUCAAACUCCUUUAGGUCCCGGUUCAGUUCAAGUCUCUCCUCCCUCUGGAUUAUUGGGUGGCCGUCUUCAGAGCGUGGAUUCUCCCUGCUGGAAGUGAAUGUACACUUUGGUCCGUCUGUCUGUCUGUCUGUCUGUCUGUCUGUGUGUGUGUUUGAAUCCCGUCUUUUGUUAUUAUGAGCUGUGUUUUUUAAUGUGGACCAAUGAACUUAUUGACUACGUUUACAUGCACACGAGAUUUAAUUUUUUUUGCUUUUAUUCUAGAAAAGACGAUAUCCAACUAAGCUGUUUCCACGGCUAAUGGAAGUGAAUAUUCUUCUAAUAUUCCUGUUUACAUGCAGCAGUUAUUUUAUCAGAGUAUUACAGCAGUGGAGGACCUGUUGGAGUGUGGUGUGUGUGUGUGUGUGUGUGUGUCUGUCUGUGUAUAUGUGUG